UAGGGAAUCUUCCACAAAUGGACGCAAGUCUGAUGGAGCAACGCCGCGUGAGUGAAGAAGGGUUUCGGCUCGUAAAGCUCUGUUGUUAAAGAAGAACGUGGGUAAGAGUAACUGUUUACCCAGUGACGGUAUUUAACCAGAAAGCCACGGCUAAAUACGUCCCAG
rnacentral:rRNA from 1 species